AUUGAACGCUGGCGGCAUGCCUUACACAUGCAAAUCGAACGGUAACGGGCCUUCGGGUGCCGGCGCGUGGGGAACGGGCGAGUAAUACAUCGGAACGUGCCCGAUCGUGGGGGAUAACGAGACGAAAGCUUAGCUAGUACCGCAUACGAUCUACGGUCGAAAGCAGGGGACCGCGAGGCCUUGCGCGGGCGGAGCGGCCGAUGGCCGCGUAGGUAGUGGGUGGGAUAAAAGUUUACGAAGCCGAAGAUUUGUACCUGGUCUGAGAGGAUGAGGGGCCACAUUGGAACGUAGACACGCCCAAGACUCCUGCGGGAGGCAGCAGUGGGGAAUGGUGGACAAUGGGCGCAAGCCUGAUCCAGCCAUGCCGCGUGCAGGAUGAAGGCCUUCGGGUUGUAAACUGAUUUUGUACGGAACGAAAAGCCUUCUUUUAAUACAGGAGGGUCAUGACGGUACCGGAAGAAUAAGCACCGGCUAACUACGUG
rnacentral:rRNA from 1 species